GACGAACGCUGGUGGCGUGCCUAAUACAUGCAAGUUGAGCGAUGAAGAUUGGUGCUUGCACCAAUUUGAAGAGCAGCGAACGGGUGAGUAACGCGUGGGGAAUCUGCCUUUGAGCGGGGGACAACAUUUGGAAACGAAUGCUAAUACCGCAUAACAACUUUAAACAUAAGUUUUAAGUUUGAAAGAUGCAAUUGCAUCACUCAAAGAUGAUCCCGCGUUGUAUUAGCUAGUUGGUGAGGUAAAGGCUCACCAAGGCGAUGAUACAUAGCCGACCUGAGAGGGUGAUCGGCCACAUUGGGACUGAGACACGGCCCAAACUCCUACGGGAGGCAGCAGUAGGGAAUCUUCGGCAAUGGACGAAAGUCUGACCGAGCAACGCCGCGUGAGUGAAGAAGGUUUUCGGAUCGUAAAACUCUGUUGGUAGAGAAGAACGUUGGUGAGAGUGGAAAGCUCAUCAAGUGACGGUAACUACCCAGAAAGGGACGGCUAACUACGUG
rnacentral:rRNA from 1 species